AACGAACGCUGGCGGCAGGCCUAACACAUGCAAGUCGAGCGAGGACUUCGGUUCUAGCGGCGGACGGGUGAGUAACGCGUGGGAAUGUGCCCUUCUCUACGGAAUAGCCCUGGGAAACUGGGAUUAAUACCGUAUACGCCCUAUUGGGGAAAGAUUUAUGGGAGAAGGAUCAGCCCGCGUUGGAUUAGGUAGUUGGUGGGGUAAUGGCCUACCAAGCCGACGAUCCAUAGCUGGUCUGAGAGGAUGAUCGGCCACACUGGGACUGAGACACGGCCCAGACUCCGACGGGAGGCAGCAGUGGGGAAUAUUAGACAAUGGGCGAAAGCCUGAUGCAGCGAAGCCGCGUGAGCGAAGAAGUCCUUCGGGAUGUAAAGCUCUAUCAGCAGGGAAGAUAAUGACGGUACCAGAAGAAGAAGCACCGGCUAAAGACGUG
rnacentral:rRNA from 1 species